ACAGAGAGAGGCGAGCCAGCGAUGGGGAGCGGAACUCAGAAAGUACGUCGAAGUCCGGAUUGGAGUCUGCAACUCGACUCCAUGAAGUCGGAAUCGCUAGUAAUCGCGGAUCAGCAUGUCGCGGUGAAUACGUUCCCGGGCCUUGUACACACCGCCCGUCACACCAUGGGAGUGGGUUGCAAAAGAAGUAGGUAGCUUAACCUUUUGGAUGGCGCUUACCACUUUGUGAUUCAUGACUGGGGUGAAGUCGUAACAAGGUAACCGUAGGGGAACCUGCGGUUGGAUCACCUCCUUACCUAGAUAGAUGGAAUGUGAGUGUUCACACAGAUUGUCUGAUGA
rnacentral:misc_RNA from 1 species